rnacentral:tRNA from 1 species
UCUAAUUUGGCAGAGAAGUGCGGUGGAUUUAAGCUCCACUUAUAAAGAUUAAAUCUUUUUUUAGAA